rnacentral:tRNA from 1 species
GCGGAUGUGGCGAAAUUGGUAGACGCGCCAGACUUAGGAUCUGGUGUCGAAAGACAUGGGGGUUCGAGUCCCUUCAUCCGCA